rnacentral:lncRNA from 1 species
CAGUCACGAAAACCAGCUCGUACGCCCGCGGCAACAGCAGGAGGGACGGGCUGGGGCGGUCAGUUAGCUCACGCACAGUCUAAUAUUCCGGGCCCGGAGGGGCACGCCCGAGGACCCUUGGCAGGCUGUGCUGUUGUGUGUUUGUAGCGCCCGGCCCGGCCGAGGCCGCGAGGAGCCCGCCGCGCACCCGGCGCACGGGGCCGCCGCCGGACGCCUCCAUUGUGUGACCGCGACCAGGGCCGCUCGCGCAGACCUGCACGUCCAGGAGCCGCCGUCGCGUGAGGUCAGGGAGUCGCGCCUCAAGGUCAGGAGAGGAGGCCGGGUGCUGCCCACGAGGGAAUUCCCCGCCGGAGCCCAGGAGCCAGGAAGAUGUGCUGACUCCGGCGAGGCCGAGGGGCUCCUGACCGCCGGCACGCUCGCCCUCGAGCGCGGGGGACACACUGUGCGGUCCUUUCCCUCGAAGGGAGCGUCCGGGACUUCCCCACGAGCGGAGGCCCCAGGGCUCGGCCGCCAGCUCUGGCGUUGGCAGCCCUUGGGAAUGUUGACAACUCAGGAUCUCCAAGGCGGGUUUCGUGAGUGAGUCCAGAGGCGCGCGAGGCGAAUGCCGCUGUAGCGCUGGGAGGGGCACUAUGCAGGAAGAAGCCUUCCGUAGGAACGCAGGCAGGGAGACGCUCAGGCUGGCCGCACGCCCGCCCAGCGGAGCCAGCCCCAGAUAGGCGGCCGCCAUGGCCAAGUGAGAGACUGGCUGACAGCAGUCCCGCAGCCUGCGUGUCCGGACGUGUUCUCGAACU